AUUGAACGCUGGCGGCGUGCUUAACACAUGCAAGUCGAUCGGUAACGCGGGGGCAACCCUGGCGACGAGAGGCGGACGGGUGAGGAACGCUUGGGAAUCUGCCUAUCAGCGGGGGACAACCCGGGGAAACUCGGGCUAAUACCGCAUACGCUCUACGGAGGAAAGCCGGGGACCGCAAGGCCUGGCACUGAUAGAUGAGCCCAAGUCGGAUUAGCUAGUUGGCGGGGUAACGGCCCACCAAGGCGACGAUCCGUAGCUGGUCUGAGAGGACGAUCAGCCACACUGGGACUGAGACACGGCCCAGACUCCUACGGGAGGCAGCAGUGGGGAAGAUUGGACAAUGGGGGAAACCCUGAUUCAGCGACGCCGCGUGGGUGAAGAAGGCCUGCGGGUUGUAAAGCCCUUUCGGUAGGGACGAAAGCUCUCGACCUAACACGUCGGGAGGUUGACUUAACCUACAAAAGAAGCACCGGCUAACUCUGUGCCAGCCGCCGCCGUAA
rnacentral:rRNA from 1 species